rnacentral:rRNA from 1 species
GGGCCCGCACAAGCGGCGGAGCAUGUGGCUUAAUUCGAUGCAACGCGAAGAACCUUACCUGGGUUUGACAUGCAGGGAAAUCCCAUAGAGAUAUGGGGUCCGUAAGGGCCUUGCACAGGUGGUGCAUGGCUGUCGUCAGCUCGUGUCGUGAGAUGUUGGGUUAAGUCCCGCAACGAGCGCAACCCUCGUCCUAUGUUGCCAGCGAGUAAUGUCGGGGACUCAUAGGAGACUGCCGGGGUCAACUCGGAGGAAGGUGGGGAUGACGUCAAGUCAUCAUGCCCCUUAUAUCCAGGGCUGCACACAUGCUACAAUGGCCGGUACAAAGAGCUGCGAUACCGCAAGGUGGAGCGAAUCUCAUAAAGCCGGUCUCAGUUCGGAUUGGGGUCUGCAACCCGACCCCAUGAAGUCGGAGUCGCUAGUAAUCGCAGAUCAGCAACGCUGCGGUGAAUACGUUCCCGGGCCUU